GACGUCGAUAUUCGACGUCAUAAACACGAUAAACUUAGAUGUUUAUGACGUCGAUAUUCGACGUCAUAAACACGAUCAACUUUGGUGUUUAUGACGUCGAUAUUCGACGUCAUAAACACGAUCAACUUUGGUGUUUAUGACGUCGAUAUUCGACGUCAUAAACACGAUAAACUUAGAUGUUUAUGACGUCGAUAUUCGACGUCAGAAACACGAUCAACUUUGCGGUGUUUAUGACGUCGAUAUUCGAAGUC
rnacentral:miRNA from 1 species